GUACUCGCUUCGGCAUCACAUAUACUAAAACUGGAAGGACACAGAGAAGAUUAGCAUGGUCCCUGUGCAAGGAUGACAUGCAAAUUCAUGAAGCGCUUCAUAUUUUU
ensembl:snRNA U6 U6 spliceosomal RNA